CGCACUUUUAACGAUAUAAAUUCCAGAUCUAAGCUGGCAUACGCCAAAAAAAAAAGUGUGUAAUGGCACAAAAAAUUAAUAUAUGUACCAAUUUGGCAGCAGUAAUUACAAUUUGAGCUGUCAGUGAACAAUACAACCCGCAUGGCUAGCUGAUGGAAAUAGUCCCCACUUGGCAAUCACAUGGCGCUUUAGACAGACACUCUAAUCUAAACGGACCAUCUACGAGGAGAACAUCACCCGCCGAACCAGCACCGCAAACUGACAUGCAAAUUAAAAAGCAUAUGCUUUGACUCCUAA
rnacentral:sRNA from 1 species